GAUGAACGCUGGCGGCGUGCCUAACACAUGCAAGUCGAACGGAGUUAUUUUGGAAAUCUCUUCGGAGAUGGAAUCUUUAACUUAGUGGCGGACGGGUGAGUAACGCGUGAGCAAUCUGCCUUUAAGAGGGGGAUAACAGUCGGAAACGGCUGCUAAUACCGCAUAAAGCAUCAAAUUCGCAUGUUUUUGAUGCCAAAGGAGCAAUCCGCUUUUAGAUGAGCUCGCGUCUGAUUAGCUAGUUGGCGGGGUAACGGCCCACCAAGGCGACGAUCAGUAGCCGGACUGAGAGGUUGAACGGCCACAUUGGGACUGAGACACGGCCCAGACUCCUACGGGAGGCAGCAGUGGGGAAUAUUGCGCAAUGGGGGAAACCCUGACGCAGCAACGCCGCGUGAUUGAAGAAGGCCUUCGGGUUGUAAAGAUCUUUAAUCAGGGACGAAACAAAUG
rnacentral:rRNA from 1 species